AGUGAACGCUGGCGGCAGGCCUAAUACAUGCAAGUCGAACGGCAGCACAGCAGAGCUUGCUCUGUGGGUGGCGAGUGGCGGACGGGUGAGGAAUACAUGGGAAUCUGCCCAGUCGUGGGGGAUAACGUAGGGAAACUUACGCUAAUACCGCAUGCGCCCUUCGGGGGAAAGCCGGGGACCGUAAGGCCUGGAGCGAUUGGAUGACCCCAAGUCGGAUGAGCUAGUUGGCGGGGUAACGGCCCACCAAGGCGACGAUCCGUAGCUGGUCUGAGAGGAUGAUCAGCCACACUGGAACUGAGACACGGUCCAGACUCCUACGGGAGGCAGCAGUAGGGAAUAUUGGACAAUGGGCGCAAGCCUGAUCCAGCCAUGCCGCGUGAGUGAAGAAGGCCCUCGGGUUGUAAAGCUCUUUUGUCCGGAAAGAAAAGCAUCCAGUUAAUACCUGGGUGUCCUGACGGUACCGGAAGAAUAAGCACCGGCUAACUUCGUGCCAGCAGCCGCCGCUGUAA
rnacentral:rRNA from 1 species